UACGAAGGGGGCUAGCGUUGUUCGGAUUUACUGGGCGUAAAGCGCCCGUAGGCGGGUCGUUAAGUCGGGGGUGAAAUCCUGGAGCUCAACUCCAGAACUGCCUUCGAUACUGGCGACCUAGAGUCCGGAAGAGGUGAGUGGAACUCCUAGUGUAGAGGUGGAAUUCGUAGAUAUUAGGAAGAACACCAGUGGCGAAGGCGGCUCACUGGUCCGGUACUGACGCUGAGGUGCGAAAGCGUGGGGAGCAAACAGG
rnacentral:rRNA from 1 species